UCGGGAAUUUUGGGCAAUGGGCGAAAGCCUGACCCAGCAACGCCGCGUGAGGGAUGAAGUAUUUCGGUAUGUAAACCUCGAAAGAAUGGGAAGAAUAAAUGACGGUACCAUUUAUAAGCUCCGGCUAACUACGUGCCAGCAGCCGCGGUAAUACGUAGGGAGCAAGCGUUGUUCGGAUUUACUGGGCGUAAAGGGCGCGUAGGCGGCGCGGUAAGUCACUUGUGAAAUCUCUGAGCUUAACUCAGAACGGCCAAGUGAUACUGCUGUGCUAGAGUGCGGAAGAGGCAACCGGAAUUCUUGGUGUAGCGGUGAAAUGCGUAGAUAUCAAGAGGAACACCUGAGGCGAAGGCGGGUUGCUGGGCCGACACUGACGCUGAUGCGCGAAAGCCAGGG
rnacentral:rRNA from 1 species